rnacentral:rRNA from 1 species
GACGAACGCUGGCGGCAUGCCUAAUACAUGCAAGUCGAGCGAACAGAUGAAGUGCUUGCACUUCUGACGUUAGCGGCGAACGGGUGAGUAACACGUAAGGAAUCUACCUAUAAGCGGGGGAUAACGUUCGGAAACGGGUGCUAAUACCGCAUAAUAUCUUCUUCCGCAUGGAAGAAGAUUGAAAGACGGCUCUGCUGUCACUUAUAGAUGACCUUGCGGUGCAUUAGUUAGUUGGUGGGGUAAUGGCCUACCAAGACGAUGAUGCAUAGCCGACCUGGGAGGGUGAUCGGCCACAUUGGGACGGAGACACGGCCCAAACUCCUACGGGAGGCAGCAGUAGGGAAUCUUCCGCAAUGGGCGAAAGCCUGACGGAGCAAUGCCGCGUGAGUGAAGAAGGCCUUCGGGUCGUAAAACUCUGUUAUAAGAGAAGAACAAAUUGUAGAGUAACUGCUACAGUCUUGACGGUAUCUUAUCAGAAAGCCACGGCUAACUACGUGCCAGCAGCCGCAGUAA